rnacentral:rRNA from 1 species
GACGGGGGGGGCAAGUGUUCUUCGGAAUGACUGGGCGUAAAGGGCACGUAGGCGUGAAUCGGGUUGAAAGUGAAAGUCGCCAAAAAGUGGCGGAAUGCUCUCGAAACCAAUUCACUUGAGUGAGACAGAGGAGAGUGGAAUUUCGUGUGUAGGGGUGAAAUCCGAUGAGAUCUACGAAGGAACGCCAAAAGCGAAGGCAGCUCUCUGGGACGGUACUGACGCUGAGACGCGAAAGCGUGGGGAGCGAACAGG